GGCAAAUGGAAGGAACAAUAAGACACUAGUAGUCAAUUUUCAAAGCCACUACCAAAAUGUCUAUCCUCCAGCACUUCAGGCACAUCUUUGAUACCAGUGUCAAUUUCUACAGUCCCAUCGUGGACAGCAGAACUAAUUAUUUCAGGUACACCACGGACACAACAAUCUAAAACUUCAGGCACAUCUUUGACACCAGUCAUACACGUCAAGCACUAAGGAAGCAUUUCAGGCACAUUUUUGACACCAGAGUCAAACACUUCAGGCACAUCUAUGACACCAAGAGAAACCUCCGAGUACAGAAGCAGAUCAUCCAGGAACAACAAUCAAUCUUAAUUCAGAUGAUGAAUCAUAAAAAAAGUGGUCAAAGAAGAAUGAAAAGAUGCGUUAAAAUUCUAUGACCCAGAUGCCAAAUAUUUAUGGUUAGGACUUCACCACUGCUUGUACACGACUUCCUGUCAUAAUGGGAUUUAGGGAACGUCUUCAGGUGACAGGAAGGCAAUUAAGAAAACGAAUGGUACUUCACAGAACUUGCAUACAACUAUACAUUCCCUGAACCAACACCAAGAUACUUUAUAUGGUGCCGUAAAACAUGGGAGUUUAAAUUGCAUCCAGCUGCAAAAAUGGAUUUUGAA